UCGAAACCUGCCCAGCAGAGCGACCCGUGAACAUGUUCAACCUCGUGGGGGACGGGGCGUUGCUGGGUGCCUCGUGCGCCUGCUCGCCCCCCUCCCAGGCCGGGGARCGCCCACUUGUGNNNUAUCUCCCCGGCAAAACAACGAACCCCGGCGCGUAAGCUCCAAGGAAUAUAAACUUAAUGUGUGUGCUCUCCCGCUGCCCGGUUAGCCGGGCGUUGGAGCUGUGCCAUGUCUUAACAAUA
rnacentral:rRNA from 1 species